UAUAGACUCUAUAUUAUGAAUAUUAAAAAUAAAUUUUGGGUCACAGAAACAGCAUUUGAGAAUCAUAAAAUGGAUGGCAAAAAUAGAAGGAUAUUUCAGCUAGGCAGUGGGACAGAAAUACUGAUGUAAAAGUAGUGUGAUUUAAAUGGAAUGAGUUGAGAAUCUGAAUUCACCAGUUUUAAGUUGCCUGACUGCCGCCACGUGGGGCAUAUUGCUUAAAACUUCUCUUGAGGGUGAUUAUAUCUAACCCAGGGGACAUUUGGGAAUGUCUAGAGACACUGUUGUUUGUCAGUAUUGGGGCUGUGUGUUUAUGUGUGCUACUGGCAUGUUGUAGGUAGAGGCGGGGGAUGCUAAUAUCUGCUUGAUGUCGUCACAAUAUACAGGACAGUAUUCC
rnacentral:lncRNA from 1 species